AUCAUUGGUACUUUAUAUAUUUUUGUUCAGUGUGCAAUUCAAAGAAUGAAGAAAAGAAUCAAAAAUAAAUACUAUGAUAAAAACAUGAGUCUUCCUACGUUAAUUGACAGUGCAGGUGGUGGUCAGGACAUUACCAGCUUACAGGAGUCUAAUAAAUACAACAUGCAAGUAAAUGGCAAUUUGUAAGUAUGAUGGCUUAUAUUGAAUGUCAACUUGACUGAAGGAUACAAAGUAUUGUUCCUGGGUGUGUCCGUGAGGGUGUUGAUGAAGGAGAUUAACAUGUGAGUCAUAGACUGGGAGAGACAGACUUACCCUCAAUCUGGGUGGGCAGCAUCUAAUCAGCUGCCAGCGUGAAUAGAAUAGAGCAGCAGAAGAUGGAAGAGCAGGUUUGCUGAGUCUUCCAGCCUUCAUCUUUCUCUCAUGCCAGAUGCUUCCUGCCCUCAAACAUCAGAUUCCAGGUUCUUCAGCAUUUGGACUCUUGGAUUUACAGCAGUGGUUUGCUGGGGGCUCUUGGGCCUUUGGCCACAGACUGAAAGUGCACAGUCAGCUUCCUGACUUGAGAUUUUGGGGCUCUGACUUUCUUGCUCCACUGGCUUUCUUGCUCCUCAGCUUGCAGAUGACCUAUCAUGGGACUUCACCUUGUGAACAUCUCACUGGAUGUUUCCAAGUGCAAUCACAAAACUUAAUGGAGAUCAGAGGGCCCCUUUACUUGGAAGAAGAAUUUGAACCCCCUUGGUUUGGAAGGACAUGGAUGAAUCUGGAGAACAUCAUCCUCAGCAAACUGACACAAGAACAGAAAUUGAAACACCGCAUAUUCUCACUCAUAGGCGGGUGAUGAAAAAUGAGAACACAUGGACACAGAAAGGCUUCACCAUCUGUCUUUGAAGCUCUUCCCAUCAAGAGAUGCUGUCUAUCAAAUAUGAGCUGGUCUUGUGACUAAGUUUAGCAAUCAGAGGUGACUGUGUACUAUUUCCAAACUUGGGACUCAAAAUCCUUGAAUGCUUUUUUUUUUUGACUCUGGCUUUGCCAUGAGAACAUGCCUAGGUUAGAACUUUGGAAGAUGAAGCACAUGGAUGAGAGUAGCCAACCAUCAGUUAUGGCCACAGGUUUGAAAGAGCCCAUCAAGAUCAAUCAAGCCCCCUCCAAUCUGACCCACAGUGCAUUGCAGACUUAGUGAGCACAAGUAAAACCAAAGAGCCAUCUAUCCCAUUUAAAGCCUUGUGAGCAAUAAUAUAUCACUAUGGUUUUAAACCAUUGAGUGUGGGAUGGUUUAUUGAAAUUUUUGUUCAUGAUAAUAAAAAGUAAGAGCGAUUGAUACUUAAUAUAAGGUGCUAACACAUAACUUGUCUUUUUAGUUCAAGAAAAACUUGAGGUUGGGUGCGGUGGCUCAAGCCUGUGAUCCCAGCACUUUGGGAGGCUGAGGCGGGUGGAUCACGAGGUCAACAGAUCGAGACCAUCCUGGUCAACAUGGUGAAACCCCGUCUCUACUAAAAAUACAAAAAAUUAGCUGGGCAUGGUGGCGUGUGCCUGUAAUCCCAGAUACUCAGGAGGCUGAGGCAGGAGAAUUGCCUGAACCCAGGAAGCAGAGGUUGCGGUGAGCUGAGAUCGCGCCAUUGCACUCCAGCCUGGGUAACAAGAGCAAAACUCCAUCUCAAAAAGAAAAAAAAAAAGAAAAACUUGAAAUAUGUGGCAUGGGUUUGCAACUGGUUACAAGUGGGGUUUGGAAAAUGUUGCAAACUGUUAACAAACUUGAAGCCAGAUAAAGAAAGUGUAAUGGAAGCUUGGCAAAAUGAUUAUGUGUGUAAUGCCAUUACAAAAUAAUUGACAAAACUGCUGCCUGCAGUAACUUGGAAGAUGGAAAAUAUAUAUAAUGAAUUUUGGAUUUGCCUAAGGAGGUCUCUAGGCAGAGUGUUGAAAGUGUCAACUGGAUUUUCUUAAUUGCGUGUAGGACAGCAAGAAAGUGAUGAACUAAAGAAAAAAGUUGGUCACUUUCCAAGCAAGACUUAAAGGGUAGAUGAGAGGGCCAGACCUAUGGGCUACAAAAUAAAACAGUUUCUCAUCUCUAGUUUCUCUAGUCAGGAAAAUCUUAUUAAAGUAAAGUACUAGAUGCUCCUCAACUUAUAAUAGAGUUACAGCCCCUUAAGCCCACUCUGAGUUGAAAAUAUCUUGAGAUAAAAAUUCACUGAAUACAUCUAACCUAUUGAACAUAAUAGCUUAGUCUUGCCUACCUUAAAUGCAUCCAAACACUUUCAUUAGCCUACAGUUGAGCAAACUAACACAAAGCCUAUUUUAUAAUAAAGUGUUAUAGUGUCUCAGGUAAUUUUUUGAAUACUGUACUGAAAGUGAAAAACAGAAUGGUUGUAUGGGUACUUGAAGUAUUGUUUCUACUCAAUGAAAUCAUUGUUGACUUCAUGGUUGAACCAUCCUAAGUCAACUUAUAGGUUGUACUGUCUGUGUAACCUGGGACAUAGAUUAAAUGAACAUUGCUUACGAUCCCUUGGUAAACCCCAUGGAAAAAUUAAGGAAGUGCUUAGCUGGCCCUCACAAGUGGACAAAAAGACUGCCAGGAACAAAGAGUGUCUCUCACAGAUAUUUAAUAUACUCCAAAUGAGUGUGAUUAAAAAAAAUUUAUUGAGAAGAGUUGAGGAUAAAUAAAUUUAAAUUAGUUGAAAGCCUACAACACUUUUAAUGGGUUGUGUAGGCAAAAGUGCCAUCAUUCUGGACUCAUAGGUAUUGAGUUUUUUCAAAAUGCAAUAGGCUUUUGGAUCCCUAUCCUUCUGUGAACAGAAAGUUGGAUUAAAAAAAAUAGCUUUUCCUUAGCCUUUUAAAAUGGAGGAGGAGAAAGUUGGAAAAGAAAGAAGUUCUGAGACAGUGAAACUAUGGAAAAUAAUGGACUGUGGAACCAGAUGAAGGGAGCAGAAUGGAGGUCAGAUCUGGAACUGGUCUAUUCACCAAAAUGUCAGGAUACAUAGAAACAUUUGCCAAGUUGGAUUUCAGAAUUUUUUUUAACAUCGAGUUUCAUGUAUCUCCCAUCUUGGACUUUUUAAAUGAAGGUACCAUUUAAAACAACUCUCCUGUCUUUGUCUCACCAUUGUAUGCUUGGC
rnacentral:lncRNA from 1 species